GACGAACGCUGGCGGCGUGCUUAACACAUGCAAGUCGAACGAUGAAGCCGGAGCUUGCUCUGGUGACUUCGUGGCGACCGGGUGAGUAACACGUGAGUAACCUGCCCUUGACUCCGGGGUAACUGCGGGAAACUGUCGCUAAUACCUGAUCCGACCCUCGGCGGCAUCUCCUGGGGGUGGCAAGAAUUUCGGUAAAGGAUGGACUCGCGGCCUAUCAGCUAGUUGGUGAGGUAAAGGCUCACCAAGGCGGCGACGGGUAGGCGGCCUGCGAGGGUGACCGGCCACACUGGGACGGAGGCACGGCCCAGACUCGUACGGGAGGCAGGAGUGGGGAAUAUUGCACAAUGGGCGCAAGCCUGAUGCAGCAACGCCGCGUGAGGGAUGACGGCCUUCGGGUUGUAAACCUCUUUUAGCAGGGAAGAGGCGAAAGUGACGGUACCUGCAGAAAAAGCACCGGCUAACUACGUGCCAGCCGCCGCCGUAA
rnacentral:rRNA from 1 species